rnacentral:rRNA from 1 species
ACAUGGGACGCUGUUGCUGGCCUUUAGCGAGGCAUGUGCACGCUUACUACCAUGGGAUCCCUUGACGUCUUUCAUUGUCUAUCACCUGUGCACUUAAUGUAGGUUGGUAUGGUUCUGGUAAAACGGAACCGGAGAACCUAUGUCUUCAUAUACAUCUUUGUGUAGAAAGUCUUAGAAUGUUUACUAUCAGAGAGUCGCGACUUCUAGGAGACGUGAAUCUUUGAGUUAAAAGUUAUUACAACUUUCAGCAAUGGAUCUCUUGGCUCUCGCAUCGAUGAAGAACGCAGCGAAACGCGAUAUGUAAUGUGAAUUGCAGAUCUACAGUGAAUCAUCGAAUCUUUGAACGCACCUUGCGCUCCUUGGUAUUCCGAGGAGCAUGCCUGUUUGAGUGUCAGUAAUUUCUCAACCCCUCUUGAUUUGAUUCGAGGGGGAGCUUGGGAUAGUGGGGGUUCCCGGAGACUUGGGCUGAGUUCAUUCUUGGUCUAGGAUUUGGGCUCUCCUGAAAUGCAUUGGCUUGCGAUUGACUUUCGAGUUUGCGCGACAAGGCUUUCGGCGUGAUAAUGAUCGCCGUGUGCUGAAGUGCAUGAAUGAAGGUUUCGUGCCUCUAAUAUGUCGAU